GACGUAGGGCGCGAGCGUUGUCCGGAUUUAUUGGGCGUAAAGAGCUCGUAGGCGGUGUGUCGCGUCGGCCGUGAAAACCUGCAGCUUAACUGUGGGCUUGCGGUCGAUACGGGCAUCACUGGAGUUCGGCAGGGGAGACUGGAAUUCCUGGUGUAGCGGUGAAAUGCGCAGAUAUCAGGAGGAACACCGGUGGCGAAGGCGGUGGUCUGGGCCGGCACUGACGCUGAGGAGCGAAAGCGUGGGGAGCGAACAGG
rnacentral:rRNA from 1 species